UCGGCUGUCCCAUUACUUGCUAUCCGUGGACUGUACAAGCAGAACACCAUCCCACGCGGCACCACACCUGUUGGGCCAAAACCGGUAUUCGAAACCCCACAUGACACCCAAGCAAGCAUCGUCGUCGUCGGUCCCGACGCUCUCUCCCUUGCCUUGUGAGUUGUGCAUCUUGCUUGAUGGGGAGGAACAGUACCGCCACCGUGCGGUGCGCCGGGGCCCAAAGGACAGGAG
rnacentral:lncRNA from 1 species